rnacentral:rRNA from 1 species
UACAGAGGGUGCGAGCGUUAAUCGGAAUUACUGGGCGUAAAGCGCGCGUAGGCGGCUUUGCAAGUCGGGUGUGAAAUCCCCAGGCUUAACCUGGGAACUGCAUUCGAGACUGCAUCGCUAGAGUAUCGGAGAGGGAAGUGGAAUUUCAGGUGUAGCGGUGAAAUGCGUAGAUAUCUGAAGGAACAUCAGUGGCGAAAGCGACUUCCUGGACGAAUACUGACGCUCAUGUGCGAAAGCGUGGGGAGCAAACAGGAUUAGAAACCCCCGUAGUCC